ensembl:lncRNA LINC02019 long intergenic non-protein coding RNA 2019
CUUCCUUCCAGGGGGUAUCUUGUUUUUGAUUCUAUCUCCGCCCUUUUUCCUGGACAGAAAAUAAACAUGCAAACAAAAACCCUAUUGGAACAAAAAUAUAAAUUUCUGGAAAACAUUAAAAGCACUCAUUUACUAAUGUAUUAAUUAAAACAAUAUUUACUGAGCACCUACUAUGUGUCAGAUGCUGCAUGCUAGGCACUAAAAAUAAAAAAGAAUAUAGCAUGGUGCUGUCUCCAGGUAGCUCACAGUCAAGUGGGCAGCAAGCAAGUGCUGGGAAUUCUCUGACACAUCUGGAAACAUCUGGGGGUGCUUCUCAUGGUGGGGCUUAUUCAUUAGAGCCCAUCCAGAAGUGCCACAUCAGUCUCCACGAAUUAAAAUCAGGAGAGCUUUGGCCAUUUCUCAUUUGAAGACCUUGGCUAACUGAAAGAAAUCCACAUUUUAAUAACAUUUUGAAUGGGUUGAUAAAAUAGGAACAGAUGGUUAAAGUUUGUCAUUUUAGGGAAAAUAAUGAAAUAUUGUACUGCUUAAUCUGUCUUCCUGUCACACUCUUCCCUAUCCCCUCCCUACUGAAAAUAUAUUCAGAUGCAACAAAACUUAAAGCAAAAUACUAAUAUCUUCUUAGACACUUUAGGUCUCUUCACCUGAAAGUGCUCUAAUUGUGUCAGCCAUCUCUGUGUUAACUUUAUCUUUUUUUUUUUUUCAGACACAUUCUCACUUUGUCACCAGGCUGGAGUGCAGUGGAGCAAUCUUGGUUCGCUGCAAUCUCUGCUUCCUGGGUUCAAGUGAUUCUCCUGUCUCAGCCUCCUAAGUAGCUGGGACUCCAGGCGCAUACCACCAUGACUGGCUAAUUUUUGUAUUUUUAGUAGAGACGGGGUUUCACCAUGUUGGCCAGGCUGGUCUUGAACUUCUGGCCCCAAGUCAUCUGCCUGCCUCAGCCUCCCAAAGUGCUGGGAUUACAAGUGUGAGCCACUGUGUACAGCCUUUGUGUUAACUUACUUUGAAUUAGCCCCUUAUUCCAAAGCUGCCUCCUGAAAGGAGGCUUCCUAAAAGGUGUUGCUUUGGGGUAAAUAAGAGGUGCUGGUGAAGUGAGACUAGCUUGCGCAUCUCUCUGCCAUGAAGGAAACUAGCUCCGCAGACGUUUUACUAACCACAGCAGACCCCCUCCUUGAGGAACCCAGAAGGGCAGAGGUAAGUUGGGUAACGUGUUCUUAAGUCUUCCAUUUACCUGACCCUGGGGUUCAUAUGGGGAUAAGCUCCAGCUGCUGACACCUUCUGAUCAAGAGAAGGCAGAAUGUCACCACUAUCACCUGCACUUUGUUUGGAUUUGCCUCUAUACCCACUGCAUUUCUCUGAUGUUUUUUUCUACCAUUCUGUUUGGACAGAGCAUCAGAUGAAAUCAACUGCUGAGAGAGGGAAGUGAGUGCUGUGUUGGCACCGCUGCCAGAAACUCUUGAGAAUGAGCAUCGUGUGCCACUUAUCCACUGCUUGCCGACUUCAGUAGCAAGAGCCUCCAGAAUGCUCAUGGAUAAACAUCAUCUUUGUGGCCACACAUUGUUUUAUGAGCUGAGUCAUCAGACUGGCUGGCUCCUUAAAUGCUGCUGUGUGAUUCUCUAGGCAGCAGAAAACAAGGAGAGAAGAUAUGAAGUGUAUCUCAUCGAGCUUUGUAGAGGGCCAGUAUCAUUCACCAAAGGUGAUGGGGGAUUUACCAUUAUGGAGUUUGCUUGUGAUAAAAAAUUAUUGAUCAACUUAAACUCUAAGAGAAAAAGAUGAUGCUGUCUGCAUUUCUUGUAAAUUAUUUAUAAAAUUUGUUUGGGUAUCGGCUAUUUUUAACAGCCACCAGUCUUAACGAAUUUCCUGCAGAAAACUUGAUUCCUUCCUUGCUCAUCGAGUUGCAAUUUAUCAUCUAAGGUAAUGAGUUAAACCCAAAAGUAACAGUGACAUGAUAAGUGAAACUGUUUGCAUACUUUGUUUUUUAAAUUGCUCUAUCAUGUUUAUCUUUUUUAUAGCUACUCAAUAAGACAUUGCAAUGAAUUUUUAAUUAAAACCAAUAUGUCUAUAAC